rnacentral:rRNA from 1 species
GUAGGGCUACCCGCUGAACUUAAGCAUAUCAAUAAGCGGAGGA